rnacentral:rRNA from 1 species
AUUGAACGCUGGCGGCAGGCCUAACACAUGCAAGUCGAACGAGUGGCGGACGGGUGAGUACUGUCUGGGAACCUGCCUGAUGGAGGGGGAUGACUACUGGAAACGGUAGCUACUAACGCAUUCCAUCGGCUGUGCCCAGAUGGGAUUAGCGAGUGGGUGGGGUAAAGGCUCACCAAGGCGACGAUCCCUAGCUGGUCUGAGAGGAUGACCAGCCACACUGGAACUGAGACACGGUCCAGACUCCUACGGGAGGCAGCAGUGGGGAAUAUUGCACAAUGGGCGAAAGCCUGAUGCAGCCAUGCCGCGUGUAUGAAGAAGGCCUUCGGGUUGUAAAGUACUUUCAGCGGGGAAGCGGUACCUGCAGAAGAAGCACCGGCUAACUCCGUGCCAGCAGCCGCGGUAAUAC